UCUGUUGAGGUCUUGAUGUCCAUUCUUAGUUUGUAGUUAAGUCAUUUGCAAUCCUCAAGAAGAAAUCCACAUGGCUGAUAAAUAUUUUAAAAAGUGUUCAACAUCCUUAGCCAUCAAGAAAACACAGAUGGAAACUACAUUAAGGGGACAGAAGAUGGAUCCAUGGUUAAGAGCAUGCAUUUCUUUUCUGGAACAUAACUAAGUUCCACAUGUGACAGCAGUGCCAAGAGUCUUGUAAAAACUAAAGCCAUUAAGAAAAAGAAAGUGGGAAAAUCAAAUGCUAACAAAAAUGGCUUAUUCAAACAGCACAAACUAGAUUUAAAAGGUAUGACCAGUGUCAUUUUCCUUACCAGAUGGAGAAAGUGAUACAGAGGAGGAAUAAAAGCUUUAACUGGAAAAUAUAA